rnacentral:sRNA from 1 species
GCUGGGUGGGCUGGCUCACGCCUGUAAUCCCAGCACUUUGGGAGGCUGAGGCAGGAGGAUCACUUGAGCCCAGGAGUCUGAGGCCAGCCUGUGCAACAAGGCAAAACACUGUCUUUACAAAAAAUUUUAAAAUUAGCUGGGCGUGGUGGCGCACGCCUGUAGUCCCAGCUACUCAGGAGGCUGAGGUGGGAGGAUCUGCUUGAGCCUGGGAAGCAGAGCUUGUGGUGAGCUGUGAUCAUACCACUGCACUCCAGCCUGGGCGACAGAGCGAGACCCUGUCUCA